ACCCGUGACGUCAUCAUCAUGCGUCUCAUGUUAUCAGACCGGAUGUUUUACUUUUGGUUCCUCUAGUGAUUUAUUUGCUAACAAAUAUAGAUUGUAGACGUUAUCUGCAACCCGUAUUGUGGUUUAACAUCUCACAAUGUCUUUAAGUUACAAUGUAAAACAUUAGCAAGCCGUUCAUUCAACUAAAGAGUCAGCCGAAUGAAAUCGCCCCAGACAAACAGCUGAAAAUAACAACACUAAGUGCUUGUGUUGGCUGCAUAGACUGAGUGCACCAUGGGUGCUGAACAAAGCGGAGAUGCUGAACAUAAACAUUCAGACUUCAGCGUUUCAGUUGUACCCUCUCCAGCCAAGCAUAGAGCCAAAAUG